GCCAAUCUCUGAGCUUGCCCAUGCUUGGGGAUUGAAAUCCGACCAUUCCUACUCUGAAAUUCUUCAUCCUGGAAAAACUUCGCCCCUAAAAAGCUCUGUGCCUGUUCAGUUAGGAGCUGCCUUUUUCACCCUGGCAGAGGCAGCAAUCUCCUGGAUUCCUCCCUCCCAUAAAUCUCUUGAAUGAGUUUUGGGUGAAGACCUUCUUUCCACAGAGUGGAGCAGGACAGAGAAGUACAACGUUCGCCAGAACAGGAGCAAACAGCUAUACUUUUGUGGGGGGGGGGGGGUUCCCCCUUAGCGGAGCGGAGAAAUAACAACUUUCCCUAAAGCACAGAAGCAACGUUCAUCUCUGAGGGGAAAUUCCCUCAGCAGAGUGGAGCAGAGCUGAGCUGUAACGGCUCUCUGGGAGAGGAGCAGGAUUGGUACAUUCCUUUGAGGAAACCAUCCCCACAAGAACAGUGCUGAUGCAGAACCCUCAGCUACUUCUCCAACACCAUGUCUGCUUGUGUACUACCAUGCUCUCCACCAUGAUGGUAAUGGACUGACCUCUAACAGGUAAGCAAACCUCCAAUUAAACAAUUUCAUUUA